AACGAACGCUGGCGGCAUGCCUAACACAUGCAAGUCGAACGAUGCCUUCGGGCAUAGUGGCGCACGGGUGCGUAACGCGUGGGAAUCUGCCCUUGGGUUCGGAAUAACUCAGAGAAAUUUGAGCUAAUACCGGAUGAUGACGUAAGUCCAAAGAUUUAUCGCCCAAGGAUGAGCCCGCGUAAGAUUAGCUAGUUGGUGGGGUAAAGGCCUACCAAGGCGACGAUCUUUAGCUGGUCUGAGAGGAUGAUCAGCCACACUGGGACUGAGACACGGCCCAGACUCCUACGGGAGGCAGCAGUGGGGAAUAUUGGACAAUGGGCGAAAGCCUGAUCCAGCAAUGCCGCGUGAGUGAUGAAGGCCUUAGGGUUGUAAAGCUCUUUACCAGGGAUGAUAAUGACAGUACCUGGAGAAUAAGCUCCGGCUAACUCCGUGCCAGCAGCCGCGGUAAU
rnacentral:rRNA from 1 species